UUUUCGCAAUGCCCGAAAGGGUGACGAAGCGACGCCGCGUGGAUGAAGAAGGCCUUCGGGUUGUAAAAUCCUGUCAGGAGUUAAGAAAUAUAAGUUUGAUAAUACCAAAUUUAUUUGACAAAGGCUCCAGAGGAAGCCACGGCUAACUCUGUGCCAGCAGCCGCGGUAAUACAGAGGUGGCAAGCGUUGUUCGGAAUUAUUGGGCGUAAAGAGCACGUAGGUGGGUUUGUAAGUCAGAUGUGAAAGCCUUCUGUUCAACGGAAGAAUUGCAUCUGAAACUGCGAGUCUUGAGUGUAGGAGGGGAGAAUGGAACUUCUGGUGGAGCGGUGAAAUGCGUAGAUAUCAGAAGGAACGCCGGCGGCGAAAGCGAUUCUCUGGCCUAUUACUGACACUCAGUGUGCGAAAGCUAGGGGAGCAAACGGGAUUAGAUACCCCGGUAGUCCUAGCCGUAAACGAUGGGCACUAAGUAGAGGGGUUUUAAUC
rnacentral:rRNA from 1 species